rnacentral:snRNA from 1 species
GUGCUCACUUCAGCAGCACAUAUACUAAAAAUUGGAACAAUACAGAGAAGAUUAGCACAGCCCCUGCGCAAGGAUGACAUGCAGAUUCCUGAAGCGGUCCAUAACAAA